rnacentral:lncRNA from 1 species
CCCAAUCCCGCUCUCCCCCUUCCUCGGGCUUCAAACAACACUGACUUAUAGAAAGUCACACUGCAUUUGUAGAGAUGCAACGGUGCUGUGGUCCUUUUAACUUUUUAAGAAUCAUGUGGAGUUCUUUAAUCUUGAUAUGAGUCACCCCCUUCCUGUUACCCCAUAAACAGUGUCUAAUCUGUAGGCUUCAAGUUAGUUUUCUGAUGAAAAUUACAGGUGACAGAGCCACACCUUCUGCUUCAGGGACUGUGACCCUCUCCCAGGUGGACACUCGGAUCCCCUGCAACCUGCUCCACCUUGAUCAUGGAGGGUCUUUGGAAAGGAGGGCAACUGCCUUCUACCGAAUAUCUGCUGCGUUCUAGGAGCUUUACCCGUGCGAUCCGUCGGCGUUAACAUUGACACUUUGAAGUUACCCUCAGAAAGGUCAGUGGGGUGGGCAGAGGGAGUCUGUGGUGUGCAUUUCCAGCCUGACAGUUUCCGCCGCCCUUGGUGAAGACCCCACGCAGGUGGCUGGUGCGACUGUGCUCUGAUUACCUUUAAUUCUUAUUAGUGAAGAAACACCUCUCCUUCUAGGAUCCCCUGUAAAAACCUGGGGGAGAAGUAGCCAUUGAGAGGGGCCAUGGAUGUGCCACCUCCCCCUCCCGCCAUAUUUGCUGAGACCCUCCUGGGUGACAGAUAGCAGGUGGCAUCCUUCUCUUCAUUCUCAAGCUGACAAGGCAGUGAUGCCCUUAUGUUACGGAUAAGAAAAUGAGGCUCAUAGAUGACAUUUUCUCAAUCUGGGUCUCCACAGCAGUGGGUGUAGACUUCAUGUUUGUCUCCUCCAUUACACCUUGAACAAUCGAUAGGAAGAAGCAGCCUUUCACCUCCGGAUCCCCAGGGCUCGCCGGAGUCGGUGCAGGGACCCCGACAACGUGCUCCCAGCCACACGCACAAACAACAAGAGGCAACUUUUGUCAGACACAUAAUUGGGCCCUGGGCUGCCAAUAACUUUUGUAGAGUCUUCUUCCCCCCGGAUUUUGGGUGGUGUCCACUGUUUAGCUUUAACUGUAUCUUCCUUGCAAAGAAGGUGGUAUUAUUACCCCCGUUUUUGCAAACGUAGAGACCGGGAGUCCAAGAGUUAACAGGCCUGCCUCAGUUCACAGGGCUCGCUAAAGGGCAGACAGGGAAUUGAACCCACGACUUCUGAUCUG